UACGUAGGGUGCGAGCGUUGUCCGGAAUUACUGGGCGUAAAGAGCUCGUAGGUGGUUUGUCGCGUUGUUCGUGAAAACCUGAGGCUUAACCAUGGGCGUGCGGGCGAUACGGGCAGACUGGAGUACUGCAGGGGAGACUGGAAUUCCUGGUGUAGCGGUGGAAUGCGCAGAUAUCAGGAGGAACACCGGUGGCGAAGGCGGGUCUCUGGGCAGUAACUGACGCUGAGGAGCGAAAGCGUGGGGAGCGAACAGG
rnacentral:rRNA from 1 species